UCCGCUGUCAGUCUCCGCUCUAAUUAAUUGUAAUUGACGGCCGCGCGAAGCCUCGCACAUUGCUCGCACUGUCCUCCCUCUACAUCUCCUCUACCACCUUCUACUCGUUGAGCACCAUGUCGUACUGCAUAAUCGUCCCUAGGAGACCUUCUCUCUCUUUCUCUCUCAAUCUCUUCCUCCCCCUCUCCCUCUAUAUUUCAAAAUCUUUCCUAGAUCAUCAAGAAGAGAGAAAAAAAAAAAGAAACUUCAGCGACAUCGAUAUUCUUAUCAAUUUGAUCGAUCAAUAUCUCUUUAGGAUUCCUUUGAAUACUCGAUGGAAGAUCCCUCGAAGAAAUUAUAAAGAGGAGGCAAAAUCGAUGGCAAAAAAGAAGCAAAUGAUGUAACUGGUCGCCCAAUUUGCAUGAUUAGCACUGGCCCUCUUUUUUCUCCGCUUCGGUUAGCCGGUUCGCAUCAACGGGCCACGCGCUAGAUACUUGGAUUCUCACGGGUUAUACACAAGCGAUUUAUCGAUUGGAUAUGUAAGAGAAUAUAUGUUGACGAUAAGAAAAAGAGAGAGAGCAAAAAAAAAAAGAAAGAAAACAAGAGAAAGAACUAGCUAGAAAAAUGAAUGUACGGGAAUGCCUGUAAUUCUAUAAGUCUAGGAAACACUAGGUAAAUGUGUAACAAACGUGGAUUUCUUUCGGAGACGGUUGUUUCCCAACGGCAAAGGAACUUGGGAAAAAAAAUUCGAGGCGAGGUGUACGAGAAAGGGAGGAGAGUGAGUUGGACCACGUGGAGUACGAUUUCAGUGGUUGACACGCACGCGAUAUGGCGCCUGGCGAUGCACACAGCAUUAAUAGCACCUGCAAGUACAAACGUACUGUAAAAACAUGUACCUGCAUAGGUGACUCUUUCUCUCUCUCUCUCUCUCUCUCUCUCUCUCUCUCUUUCUCUCUCUUUCUCUCUUUCUUUCCCACAUACACAGUCAUUUGCAUUCUUCAACGUGCCUAUGGGACAGAGUAUUUUUUGCGAGUUUCGUGGAUGUGCACGUAUAAUGCAUGCAAUCCGGACACAUAGAAAAAAAUAUACAGAGAAACGAGCGUGAGCCCGCGCGCGGGUGUAUGUAUUGGUAUAUGUAUGCGCGACCGACGAAACGGAGCUUCAACGUAAUGAUAUGGUUUUCGGUUUCUGUAUUGAAAUACGAUUCUCAGUGGGGUAGGUCACGCCGCACUGCUAACACCCAGAAUGUGUUUGUACUUACGAACGUAUAAAUACACGUAAUACAUAUAACAUAAAUACAGCAUGCUGAUGUAUAAAUGUUGUAAUUUAUCCAUAGAAGAAUAAUGUCCUUCGAUUUUUAUUCGGUUUCUUAUUAAAAUGGAAAAUCCUUAUGAGAUCGAAAAGCUUCUAUCCGUUUGUAUAUCUAAGAUGGACGUGAUUGAAUAAUAAUCGUUUCUAUUAUUUUUCAAGAAAUUGGAAAGAAAAUAUUUUGAUGUUAAUAGUAUCGGAUUUUAAAUAAUAUUAAUAAAUGGAAUUAUUCCGUAACUAGUAUAAAAAUUAAUAGUCGAGAAAAUUGUCUAUUAUGAAGAAAAAUAUCCCGCUUAAUAUCAGCAUACUUACAAAUAGUUUAAUCUAUAUUCAUGGAUCAGGUGGUAAGUGCCAUCAUCACGUUACAAAGUUGUCCUUUCGACGGUUACGAGGCAAUGAGUACCGGUGCACCGCUUUAAUUCUUGUCUAGGAUUACGAACAGCCAACGAUCGACUCUCGAUAAUCACUCACCUGACACUUCGACUUAAGUGCUCCUUGUCCUUGUGUAUAUUUUCUUCCGUUCUUUUAAAGAUAUUUGUUUUCGUUCAAUUUAUUGCUGUUUCCUUUUUUUUUUUUUUUUUUUCUUUCAAAUUAUACAUAAUUAUGCGUAUGAUAAUAAAAGCUAUCACUUUUUUACGAGAUACAUAAGUACGUACAAAAAUCUGGAUUGUAUUGCAAUUUAUAAACGUAAAACGUCCCUUGUUGUGUUCUAACGGUAUAUUGGCAAUACAUUUUUUACUGUAUAAAAAUUAUAACCAGGAAAUAAGUAUAAAAUAACAUUUGUAUCCUUACGUAUUAGAUUGAUCCGUCUAAAGGAUUAUUAUAAUUCUAUCGGAAUGUCAAAUCUUAUCGGAUAAUUUCUUGUAAAGCGGCAUUAAGUCCUACGUCAACGACAAUUGAAUAGGAGACUCACCCCUAAAGGCGAAGAAGGGUACCGCGUGGCCGCCCUUCUAACCUCGACAAAAUGACGUGUCCCAUUGGACGGCGUCUCGACCAAUCGUGCUAACGAAAUUCUAUGGUGUCUACUGGCGUUAGGGGAGGGAACUCAAAGGAGAAGACCAUCGACAUAUGUUUCAUGAAUUAUAAUACAACCGUAGUCUAACGUAUAUCAACGACCAACCGACUGGUUGAUUUUAUUAUGGCGGAAACGUCGAACGGGAUCCAAUUAUUUGUGAGAUUCGAUUACAAAAUACAACAAUGCGUUUUACGCGUGAGGAGGAAGAGGAGAAGGAGGAGGAAAUGGAGGAGGAGUAGAGCGUGGAGAAGAAACAAUGUAUAUAGGAGAGGGCUGCAAUGGUGGUGGCAGUGGCGGUGGAGACGCACUCGGAGGGAUGUGUAAGGUGACACCUCUCGGACAGGUCUGGCUUCUC